rnacentral:pre_miRNA from 1 species
AUGUGCCUGGCUCCCUGUAUGCCACUCAUCUAUAGCAACAUUCCUUCCUGAUGAGGUUGCCUAGGAUGGAUGGCGUGCACGGAGCCAAGCAUAU